rnacentral:tRNA from 1 species
AGAUUUUAAGUUAAUAAAACUAUAUACCUUCAAAGUAUAAAAUAAUUUUAAAUUAAAUCUU